rnacentral:miRNA from 1 species
GACUAUACCAUAGGAAGCU